UGCCGUUAGCAAACCUUAACCCUUGCUG
rnacentral:piRNA from 1 species